rnacentral:rRNA from 1 species
CAAAAGCGUAUAUUAAAGUUGUUGCAGUUAAAAAGCUCGUAGUUGAACCUUGGGCUUGGCUGGCCGGUCCAUCUUUUUUGAUGCGUACUGGACCCAGCCGAGCCUUUCCUUCUGGCUAGCCUUUUGGCGAACCAGGACUUUUACUUUGAAAAAAUUAGAGUGUUCAAAGCAGGCCUUUGCUCGAAUAUAUUAGCAUGGAAUAAUAGAAUAGGACGUUAUGGUUCUAUUUUGUUGGUUCCUAGGACCAUCGUAAUGAUUAAUAGGGACGGUCGGGGGUAUCAGUAUUCAGUUGUCAGAGGUGAAAUUCUUGGAUUUACUGAAGACUAACUACUGCGAAAGCAUUUACCAAGGACGUUUUCAUUAA